CUUCAGUGAAGAUGGUUACCAGAUGCACCCGAAACUGGUGAUAAUUCUUCUGAACAAGGAGAGGAAGUGGGAAAGGAAAGAGACAAGAGGGUGUUUUAUAAGCCCACUCCCUCUUCCCUGCCUCCACCUACCAGAAAC
rnacentral:sRNA from 1 species